UACGUAGGGUGCGAGCGUUAAUCGGAAUACUGGGCGUAAAGCGUGCGCAGGCGGUUCGUCGUGUCCGAUGUGAAAGCCCCGGGCUCAACCUGGGAAUGGCAUUGGAAACUGGCGGACUCGAGUGUGGCAGAGGGGGGUGGAAUUCCGCGUGUAGCAGUGAAAUGCGUAGAGAUGCGGAGGAACACCGAUGGCGAAGGCAGCCCCCUGGGCUAACACUGACGCUCAGGCACGAAAGCGUGGGAGCAAACAGG
rnacentral:rRNA from 1 species